rnacentral:tRNA from 1 species
CUUAAACUUUUAAAGGAUAACUAAGCAAUCCAUUGGCCUUAGACGUCAUACAUCUUGGUGCAACUCCAUGUAAAAGU